CAAUUUGAUUUCUGAUGUUACACCACAUUAUUAUAAGUUUAUUAUUAGACAAUUAGUGGAAAAGUGUUGGCCACCAAAAGUCUUGAAUUUUGUUUGUUAAGGAGAAAAUUAGGUAAGUUGGAACUUAAAAAGUUUAUAGAGUUAGAAUAAAUAUCAAGGUUGGUACAACAAAUGAUACUUUGGACUAGUAGUGUGAAGCAAAAGAGGAGUAUAUAUAGCCCGGGCGCUGGGCCAAGACCGUCGAAGGGCAACUCUUGCUGCAAUUUUCAGAACGUGUUUCAUUGUUUCUCAUAUUUUCAGAUAAGGCAACUAUUGUGUUUAGGGGUGGACAAGGCCCGUUAAACCAGCCCAACCCGCACUGACCGAAAAUAAAAAAACGAAUUGGGUCGGAUCUGGACGGUUUAACGGGUUCGCGGGUCUGUUUUGCGGUUUCUAGUGAGUUUACACGGUCGGGUCCGGUUCAAUAAAAUGGAACCACGGAUACCCGAACCGAACCGUGUUUACUAUUUUAUUUUUAUUUUUUAUUACUAAUAUGAUGACAUCCUUUUUAGUCUUUACUUUUUUACGCUUAAUAUUUUCCAAUUUCUUUUGUUUCCUCUCUCACUCACUCUUUUCCACUGCCAAACCCUAGCCGCCGCCGUGCACUCCCUCCUUCUCCUCCGUUUUCUCAACUCUUUCUCCACCGUCCCAUCCAUCCACUGCCGUCAAACUCAAAGUAUCUACCAUCCUUCUCAUCAAUUUUUCUUUGUUUGAUUUACUGGGUUUUGUUGUUUUUAAGUUUUCACAAAUCUUUAACAGUUUUCUUUUUGUUUUUCUAUCAUCCCUACACAAGAAGUAAGAUAUAAAACUGCUCAUGGUUGAGGAACAAAGAGGCUACAUGAAAAAUAAUAUAAUCUUUAGAUCGACAAAUUUCUCUUUAGAUCUACAUGGUAAAUAAAUUUUUUUCAGAUCUUACAAUAUGUCCUUGUUGGAUCCAUAGAUCUGUGAAGUUGUAUAUUGAGAUAGGAAACUCUAAGGACCGGAGGUUUGAAUGAAGAAAAAAAAUGUUUAGAGUGAAAUUGACAAGUCAUGUUGGCAUUGGAAUAAUUCCUUCAAGUGUUUAUGAAUUUUAAGUGUUGUAAUAUUUUUUAAUAGUGUUUUGUUGAAUAUAUAAUGUUAUUGAAUGUAUUUUAUAUAGUUUGUUAA